ACGGCCUUUCACACACACACCCACACACACUCAUAAAAGCCAUUUUGAUGAGCGACCCAGGCCCGGAGCAGGACCACGACCAGGGCUUUGUAUCGUAUGUAGCUCCUCUUGCCACCCUCAUGCCUGUGUGUGCCGCUUUUACUGCCGAUGUGACCGUUGCCUGUGCCUGAGGGUCCUUUGUUGCAUUGUAACCCCACGAAUGGCUCGCAGGCGGGCCUAAUGGAUUGGCAUUUAUUAGGGAGUGCAGAAGAAUGUUUAUCGCAGCACUUGAAAAAACAAUGGCCGGCCCCCGCUCCCAACUGCCCGAAAAGAGAUAGUUUCUGGUGGCCCAAGCUAGUGUCAGAAAUACAGAUAAAUCUGUCUCAAGUAAGUAACUCCGGAAUACCAAUGCCGAUCCUUGUCCAAGCAUUAGCCAUGCCUGAUGUACCACAGCAGCCCCUCUCAGUCGAGAAAGUGGCUACCUUUCACGGGGGGCGUAUACUUAAUAUUCCCUAGGAAGACUUCAGGUUCCUGCCACCGCGGCAUCUUACACCACCAGCAGAAUCCAGGCAAACUGAAGGCAUGGGAAAAUCCGGAGAUGUACAAGAAGAUUACCCUGGACUUCUCAGUGCUGGCCAUCGAUCGAUGAAGCACCUUUAGGGAACAUUGAUGCUCCACAAGGACCUCCAAGGAGGUCGUUCCACCCGACCCUCGACCUUGGUGCGAUCUUUGUCAUUGCCCUUUGUCUCGCUUUCAGGCACUGACUGGCAGAAGGAGUGUAAUCAACACUCGAUACUUCAUUGCAUCAAACAUCAAACACAAAUUUGGUUUUACAAAAUCUGCAGACAGUUCAAUUUGAAGAAAUUUUUUUGUAUAUUCAAAAUUUAGAAUUUACACAUUUAUCGUUGACGAAAGCCGCGGUCCAUGUUGUCCCUGUGUUGCUGAUAUUGCAGACCGUAGCCGCCAUUGGCGGGCAAACUCAAGGAUGCCCCCGACGGUCCAAUGGGAAAUCUUGUCGUUCUUCUGGCGAUCGCGUCGGAGAAGUCGGUGCUGUGUUCGCCGAUCAGUGAGAGGCAGGGAGUACUCCUGUGGCCCUCAUCCAGAAGUUCGGCAGAACUUCCAUCGGCCUUCGCCCCGUCCUCCCAAACGGGGCAAUGCCGGUCUUGAACAUACAAUAAUCACUGCCGAUCAUGAGAUCCGAGGGCCUCCAAAAGUUUUCCACGGUCUUGAAUCUUGUCAGCUGAUGGAGUGUUUACUGCCAGGACUAGGAGCGGACUGAUACGUGUGAUUUUGAGGAAUAUUGGAAACGUUUUCCGAGAGGUAUUUCGCCUAACUGACAUCUGCUCCCCAACGUAUGCUAUACUCAACGAUAACUGUGUGAAGAGUGACUCUCAAACUGUUUCGAUUUGAUUAUAUCGAAAUAAGAGGCGUACAAAUCACACACUUCCCGUCACGAAUUCCUGGAAUGCCACGCAAUUACAUCCUCUACAAUUCCCAUGCAAAUGGUGGCGUAAUUAUAAGCCACGCAAAUGGCACUUCGACUGGGACUGGAACUGGCCCUGGGACUGGCACUGGGACUGGCACUGGCAC
rnacentral:sRNA from 15 species